AAAACCUUACUCAUAGUGAAUUUCUGCCCAAGACGAUCGAAUCAGUGGGAUUAUCGAAGCUGGAACACUUUGGAACGGUGCCGUUUUGGGAUACCAAUUUGCUCGAAUCAAAUUGCCAAUUUCAGUUGACGAGACAACGUGGCUGGCGGUGUAGAGUCCCAGAGAGUGACGCUGGAGCUGUUGACGAGGCAGAGGGUGUCGGAUUGGAGGCAAUGGCAAUCGCGAAUCAUUAAGCUUCCACGCCACAGAUGCAAUGGAUGUGUAAUCACAAUUUGCAACCUAACAAUUUGGAGAAAGCGGAGAGAGAAAAC
rnacentral:lncRNA from 1 species